AUUGAACGCUGGCGGCAGGCCUAACACAUGCAAGUCGAGCGAGCGGCGGACGGGUGAGUAAUGUAUGGGAAACUGCCCGAUAGAGGGGGAUAACUACUGGAAACGGUAGCUAAUACCGCAUACUAUCGGAUGAACCCAGAUGGGAUUAGCUAGUAGGUGGGGUAAUGGCUCACCUAGGCGACGAUCCCUAGCUGGUCUGAGAGGAUGACCAGCCACACUGGGACUGAGACACGGUCCAGACUCCUACGGGAGGCAGCAGUGGGGAAUAUUGCACAAUGGGCGCAAGCCUGAUGCAGCCAUGCCGCGUGUGUGAAGAAGGCCUUCGGGUUGUAAAGUACUUUCAGCGGGGAGGCGUUACCCGCAGAAGAAGCACCGGCUAACUCCGUGCCAGCAGCCGCGGUAAUAC
rnacentral:rRNA from 1 species